GCAUAUCAAUAAGCGGAGGAAAAGAAACCAACAGGGAUUGCCCUAGUAACGGCGAGUGAAGCGGCAACAGCUCAAAUUUGAAAUCUGGCGUCUUUGGCGUCCGAGUUGUAAUUUGCAGAGGGCGCUUUGGCAUUGGCAGCGGUCCAAGUUCCUUGGAACAGGACGUCACAGAGGGUGAGAAUCCCGUACGUGGUCGCUAGCCUUUACCGUGUAAAGCCCCUUCGACGAGUCGAGUUGUUUGGGAAUGCAGCUCUAAAUGGGAGGUAAAUUUCUUCUAAAGCUAAAUACUGGCCAGAGACCGAUAGCGCACAAGUAGAGUGAUCGAAAGAUGAAAAGCACUUUGGAAAGAGAGUUAAAAAGCACGUGAAAUUGUUGAAAGGGAAGCGCUUGCAGCCAGACUUGCCUGUAGUUGCUCAUCCGGGUUUUUACCCGGUGCACUCUUCUAUAGGCAGGCCAGCAUCAGUUUGGGCGGUUGGAUAAAGGUCUCUGUCACGUACCUCCUCUCGGGGAGAACUUAUAGGGGAGACGUAAUGCAACCAGCCUGGACUGAGGUCCGCGCAUCUGCUAGGAU
rnacentral:rRNA from 1 species